rnacentral:rRNA from 1 species
AUGAUUGGCUUCCUGGUGGAAUCAGGUGCGUGUCGUCCAUGCUGGCCUGUUGUGGGUGUUGGCGGGCGGCUGGAGGCGGCUGCAGCAGAACUUUCUGAAUCCGACGCUGUCAAUCGGGCCGCAGAGAGGAAGUGUGGUGGAGAUGAGAUGGGGACAGACGAUCAUGCAGCGAUGUUGUUUCUUUGUUCUCCUGCUCAAGGUUUGCUAUCGAGCUCUCAAAAAGGAAAAACAACUUUACUCUGUUUUCUGGAUAACCUUCCCGUAGAGUCACUACCUCGACAGAGACAAAUAUGCGAUCAAGGAUAUAUUCGAUGGAUUUUCAAGCAAAACUUGGAGGAUAUUUUUGCAGAUAGUUUGGUGCUCUCAUGGUUAUUUUGUAGAGAUUGCCCCUCUGUUCAUUUCUUGGUAACCAUCUACUGCAGCUCAGCUACUGUCCAGCAGCUGACCUUAUGGUGUGUGAUUGACGGUGCAUGUUUUCCUAUUAGUUUCUCUGUAUGCCAAUGUCUGAAUUUUAUCUUGCCUUUUUGCAUUUCUCAAGGCCUUCCAUUCUCACUGUGA